AUUGAACGCUGGCGGCAUGCUCCUACACAUGCAAGUCGGACGGCAGCACAGAGAAGCUUGCUUCUUGGGUGGCGAGUGGCGAACGGGUGAGUAAUAUAUCGGAACGUACCGAGUAAUGGGGGAUAACUAAUCGAAAGAUUAGCUAAUACCGCAUAUUCUCUGAGGAGGAAAGCAGGGGACCUUCGGGCCUUGCGUUAUUCGAGCGGCCGAUAUCUGAUUAGCUAGUUGGUGGGGUAAAGGCCUACCAAGGCGACGAUCAGUAGCGGGUCUGAGAGGAUGAUCCGCCACACUGGGACUGAGACACGGCCCAGACUCCUACGGGAGGCAGCAGUGAGGAAUUUUGGACAAUGGGCGCAAGCCUGAUCCAGCCAUGCCGCGUGUCUGAAGAAGGCCUUCGGGUUGUAAAGGACUUUUGUCAGGGAAGAAAAGGCUGUUGCUAAUAUCGACAGCUGAUGACGGUACCUGAAGAAUAAGCACCGGCUAACUACGUGCCAGCAGCCGCGGUAAUACGUAGGGUGCGAGCGUUAAUCGGAAUUACUGGGCGUAAAGCGAGCGCAGACGGUUACUUAAGCAGGAUGUGAAAUCCCCGGGCUCAACCUGGGGAACUGCGUUCUGAACUGGGUGACUAGAGUGUGUCAGAGGGAGGUAGAAUUCCACGUGUAGCAGUGAAAUGCGUAGAGAUGUGGAGGAAUACCGAUGGCGAAGGCAGCCUCCUGGUAUAACACUGACGUUCAUGCUCGAAAGCGUGGGUAGCAAACAGG
rnacentral:rRNA from 1 species